CGGCCAUACCUCUCUGGCUCCGCCUGAUCUCGUCUGAUCUCAGAAGCUAAGCAGAGUAGGGCCUGGUUAGUACUUGGAUGGAAGACCGCCUGGGAAUUCCAGGUGCCGUAAGCUUUUUCAUUUCUCUCUCUGGAAGAAAUUGAGAAGGCAUUAGAAAGUGAAUCCUUUUUCAUUAUCAAAACUCCAAAACCUUUGACACAUUUUAAAAGAUUAGGAAGAGGACAUACAGUUGCUUACGGCCAUACCUCUCUGGCUCCGCCUGAUCUCGUCUGAUCUCAGAAGCUAAGCAGAGUAGGGCCUGGUUAGUACUUGGAUGGAAGACCGCCUGGGAAUCCCAGGUGCCGUAAGCUUUUUCAUUUCUAUCUGUAAAAGACACAGAGAAGAACUUAGAAAGUGACUCCAUUUCAUUGUCAAAACUCCAAAACCUUUGACACAUUUUAAAAGAUUAGGAAGAGGACAUACAGUUGCUUACGGCCAUACCUCUCUGGCUCUGCCUGAUCUCGUCUGAUCUCAGAAGCUAAGCAGAGUAGGGCCUGGUUAGUACUUGGAUGGAAGACCGCCUGGGAAUCCCAGGUGCCGUAAGCUUUUUCAUUUCUCUCUCUGGAAGAAAUUGAGAAGGCAUUAGAAAGUGAAUCCUUUUUCAUUAUCAAAACUCCAAAACCUUUGACACAUUUUAAAAGAUUAGGAAGAGGACAUACAGUUGCUUACGGCCAUACCUCUCUGGCUCCGCCUGAUCUCGUCUGAUCUCAGAAGCUAAGCAGAGUAGGGCCUGGUUAGUACUUGGAUGGAAGACCGCCUGGGAAUCCCAGGUGCCGUAAGCUUUUUCAUUUCUAUCUGUAAAAGACACAGAGAAGAACUUAGAAAGUGACUCCAUUUCAUUGUCAAAACUACAAAACCUUUGACACAUUUUAAAAGAUUAGGAAGAGGACAUACAGUUGCUUACGGCCAUACCUCUCUGGCUCCGCCUGAUCUCGUCUGAUCUCAGAAGCUAAGCAGAGUAGGGCCUGGUUAGUACUUGGAUGGAAGACCGCCUGGGAAUCCCAGGUGCCGUAAGCUUUUUCAUUUCUCUCUCUGGAAGAAAUUGAGAAGGCAUUAGAAAGUGAAUCCUUUUUCAUUAUCAAAACUCCAAAACCUUUGACACAUUUUAAAAGAUUAGGAAGAGGACAUACAGUUGCUUACGGCCAUACCUC
ensembl:lncRNA